GGCUACCCUCUGCUUCCUGUUUCCAGGUAGCUAAUCUCGCAGCCAGCUCGAGUUGCAGACUUCUCUCCAACUCUCGCACGGCAUUCAGUGAGUCAGCCGUCGUAGACACAACACCCUCUCAAACACUCCGUCUCAAGGUAGCUUACAAGCUAAAGAUUUUUUAAAAAUUGUUUCAACAGUCCUUGGAAGACCAAUUGUUCAAGGGGAAUGGAUGCCAGCAUAAACAUGGAAGAAGCUAAUAAAAAGAUGUUCAAGCACACAACCCUAGUUAGGAGAAUUGGCCCUUUUUACACCAGAUUGCCUCUUUGAAAAGAAGAUGUUUGGGCCACCUCAAAGGGAUCCAGCAUGGGAGCAUAUGAAAUUCAUAUUGAGGUCAACCAAGAAAGCAUAAACAUGCUGAGCAAGCUUUCAAAGUUCUCCUUCACUAUCAGCAGGCAAGAGGAAAUGAGUAGGUGGCAUGGGAGGAAAGGAAAGCUGAUGAUCAAGUAGGACUGAUGAGAUGUUAGGUUUCAAAUGUUAUAAAAUCUGCAAGGGCACUGGAGACACUGCAGUGGUGGUUGGUGGCCUUCAUAGCAGCAGGAUAAGGUAGUGGUCUGCAAAUGUCAGGCUUUAUAAACAUUUAUGACAACCUCGUUAAUAACCGAAGCUCAGUGAAGACUAUGAAGGGUGAUGUUAAUUAAUUGUCUCCAGGAACAUGAAACUAGCUAUCAACUUCAUUUUAUACAAAUCUCUUUCCCAGAUAAUUUGAUACAAAUGCUUCCACUUCAAAACAAGUGACUUCUUGGUAAUUAUUUUUCACUGAACAAAUAAGACAGAUAACAAAGGUGUCUUUCAAUCAGGGUGACAAAUACUGCAGAUUUUCUAUCACAUUUAGAGUAGUGGAAAAGUCAAAAUAGUAAUGCAUUAUUACUAUUGUUAUUGUUCUUAUCAUUUUUUGACAGGCAUAGAUUUCAUGGAAAACAUACCUAUGUAUAUCUCCAGAGGCAGGAAAAUACAGCUAUAUUUGCUUUUACUUUUUCUGUUUCUAGUGAAAUUGUUUUGACAGCUACAGGAUAUUGGGCUGACUCAAACCAAGAAACCUGAUAUGGUGGUUGUACAACAGAAAAAUAUAAAGAUGCUGCAAAUUUCCUCCCAAAGCUUAUCCUAGCUAGAAACUGACAAGGAGCAUAUUUCAAGGAAAGUAAAGUAAUAUUCUUGUUUGAAAGUAUGUGUAUGAACAACAUGUUAAGCAAAUAAAAGGGCACAUAUUGUAGAAGACAGUUCUAUUGUCAAGAUUCCAGCUUUUGUACUACUGUUGUUAGAUUCUUAUCCUUCUAAAUGUUUCAAGUGAAAAAAAUAUUUUGUACACAUCCCUCCUCAAUGCAUUUAUUUCUAGAUUGUGGGUUUAUAUCCCACUUUUCUGCUAAGGCUAGGCUGACAGGCAGUUUCUGACAUAAUUAAAAAUUGUUCCAAUGAAAACAUAA